rnacentral:rRNA from 1 species
UAAGCGGAGGAAAAGAAACUAACAAGGAUUCCCCUAGUAGCGGCGAGCGAAGAGGGAAAAGCCCAGCACCGAACCUCGCGCUCUCGGGCGUCGCGGAAUGUGGUGUUUAGGAGGACCGUGCGCGUCUGUCCGGUAUCGUCCAAGUCUCCAUGAAUGGGGCCAGCAACCCAGAGAGGGUGUCAGGCCCGUGGGACGAGCCGCGACGGCGUAUUGGGUCUCUCCUUAGAGUCGGGUUGCUUGAGAGUGCAGCCCUAAGCGGGAGGUAAACUCCUUCUAAGGCUAAAUACGGCCACGAGACCGAUAGCGAACAAGUACCGCGAGGGAAAGUUGAAAAGAACUUUGAAGAGAGAGUUCAAUAGUGCGUGAAACCGUUCAGGGGGUUAAACGGGUGGGCCCUCGAAGGUCGAACGGUCCCCAUUCCAGUCAUUCGCAGGCCGGUCCGCGUCGUUAUCCGAUCUCGCUACGGGACGGUGCGGCGCGGGUCGCCGGUCUACGAGGGCCGCAAGUUGGGGACCCAGUAGGACUCCGCAACCGUCUGGGAGGCCGUCAGAAGGGUUCCGGUAGGAAGCCCCCUCGGGGGUGGACUCUGGGAUUUCCGGGCGGUCCUCCCGGCCGUAAACCUGCAUUCUCUCGAACGGUGCGUGGGACGAGCCUCGGUUCGCAAGGGCCGGGGUUGUCGGUUUCACAGCCGCCGGGAGACGCGGCGGAGAGUAGAGUCGGGUCCCACCCGACCCGUCUUGAAACACGGACCAAGGAGUCUAACAUGUGCGCGAGUCGUCGGGUUUGACUAAACCCGAAGGCGCAAUGAAAGUGAAGACCGUCCUCGUUGGCGUGUCUAGGGGAGAUCCCGUCCUGCUCCGGUAGCUCGGGCGCAUCCCCGGGGCGUCGAAGCCGCGUUGCCGGCCAGACGCACCAAGASCGUACACGUUGGGACCCGAAAGAUGGUGACCUAUGCCUGGCCAGGACGAAGCCAGGGGAAACCCUGGUGGAGGUCCGCAGCGAUUCUGACGUGCAAAUCGAUCGUCGGAGUUGGGUAUAGGGGCGAAA